rnacentral:rRNA from 1 species
UACGUAGGGGGCAAGCGUUGUCCGGAUUUAUUGGGCGUAAAGAGCGUGUAGGCGGCCAAGCAGGUCAGCUGUGAAAACUCGAGGCUCAACCUCGAGACGUCGGUUGAAACCGCUUGGCUAGAGUCCGGAAGAGGAGAGUGGAAUUCCCGGUGUAGCGGUGAAAUGCGCAGAUAUCGGGAAGAACACCCGUGGCGAAGGCGGCUCUCUGGGACGGUACUGACGCUGAGGAGCGAAAGUGUGGGGAGCGAACAGG